rnacentral:rRNA from 1 species
UGGGGAAUAUUGGACAAUGGGCGAAAGCCUGAUCCAGCCAUGCCGCGUGUGUGAAGAAGGUCUUCGGAUUGUAAAGCACUUUAAGUUGGGAGGAAGGGCAGUAAGCGAAUACCUUGCUGUUUUGACGUUACCGACAGAAUAAGCACCGGCUAACUCUGUGCCAGCAGCCGCGGUAAUACAGAGGGUGCAAGCGUUAAUCGGAAUUACUGGGCGUAAAGCGCGCGUAGGUGGUUCGUUAAGUUGAAUGUGAAAGCCCCGGGCUCAACCUGGGAACUGCAUCCAAAACUGGCGAGCUAGAGUAGGGCAGAGGGUGAUGGAAUUUCCUGUGUAGCGGUGAAAUGCGUAGAUAUAGGAAGGAACACCAAUGGCGAAGGCGACCACCUGGGCUCAUACUGACACUGAGGUGCGAAAGCGUGGGGAGCAAACAGG